GACGAACGCUGGCGGCGUGCUUAACACAUGCAAGUCGAACGAUGAACCCGGAGCUUGCUCCGGUGGAUUAGCGGCGAACAGGUGAGUAACACGUGAGUAACCCGCCCUUGACUCUGGGAUAACUGCGGGAAACUGUAGCUAAUACCGGAUACAACCCUCGGCGGCAUCGCCAGGGGGUGGAAAGAAUUUCGGUCAAGGAUGGACUCGCGGCCUAUCAGCUAGUUGGGGAGGUAACGGCUCACCAAGGCGACGACGGGUAGCCGGCCUGAGAGGGGGACCGGCCACACGGGGACUGAGAAACGGCCCAGACUCCUACGGGGGGCAGCAGUGGGGAAUAUUGCACAAGGGGCGCAAGCCUGAUGCAGCAACGCCGCGUGAGGGAUGACGGCCUUCGGGUUGUAAACCUCUUUUAGUGGGGAAGAAGCGAAAGUGACGGUACCUGCAGAAAAAGCACCGGCUAACUACGUGCCAGCCGCCGCGGUAA
rnacentral:rRNA from 1 species